UACGUAGGGCGCAAGCGUUAUCCGGAAUUAUUGGGCGUAAAGAGCUCGUAGGCGGUUUGUCGCGUCGGGAGUGAAAACACGGGGCUUAACCCCGUGCCUGCUUCCGAUACGGGCAGACUAGAGGUAUGCAGGGGAGAACGGAAUUCCUGGUGUAGCGGUGAAAUGCGCAGAUAUCAGGAGGAACACCGGUGGCGAAGGCGGUUCUCUGGGCAUUACCUGACGCUGAGGAGCGAAAGUGUGGGGAGCGAACAGG
rnacentral:rRNA from 1 species